rnacentral:lncRNA from 1 species
CUCUUUGGAUUACACACAUCAUGCCGAAAAUCCCGAAUCUCCGUGCAUUUGGUAAACAUUGUCACAAUUGUGGAAAGUGGAUGGAGCGAAGGGCUCUUCGUAAAGAUGGUGUGUAGUAUUUUAGUAGUGAUAUGCAAUUUUUGUAAUGGCAAAAUAUUUGCAAGAGAUGGCAAACAAAAGCAAAUGUGCAGUCGGUGUGUGGAAUGCGACAACAUUAUACUCGAUAAUUUCGAUUAUUGCGAGUGCUGUGGCUGUAAAAUGAAAAAUAAUACUUAUUACCAGAUAGAGAUGUCGAUAACGAAGAGUUGAAUGUUAGAACUUAU